UACGUAGGGGGCAAGCGUUGUUCGGAAUCACUGGGCGUAAAGGGCGUGUAGGCGGUCAGGUAAGUGGAAUGUGAAAGCCCUCGGCUCACCCGAGGAUCUGCAUUUCAAACUGCCUGGCUUGAGUAUGGGAGAGGAUGAGGGAAUUCCUGGUGUAGCGGUGAAAUGCGUAGAUAUCAGGAGGAACACCGGUGGCGAAGGCGCUCAUCUGGCCCAAUACUGACGCUGAGGCGCGAAAGCCAGGGGAGCAAACGGG
rnacentral:rRNA from 1 species